rnacentral:tRNA from 1 species
GGGAUUGUGGCUCAGUGGUAGCGCACUCACCUAGCACAUGAGAGGCCCUGGGUUCAAUCCUCAGCACCA